rnacentral:lncRNA from 1 species
AUGCACCCUCCCACCCCACGCCUUGCACUUUAUCUCUGUUUUUGCAUCCUUCCCCUGCCCCUUCCUGGAGUACUGUGGGCUUCCCGCUGCCUCAUCUGCACCCAUGGGCCGAGAGAGAGGCGAGCGGAGGCGAGGCUGGGACCCGGGGCUCGCCGGGCUGGGGAGGGGUGGGGACCCGGGGCUGGGGGGGUGGGGUGGGGAAGGGGACCCCAGAAGCCCUGGGACCGAGCUGAGGAAAAACCCGGGAGCUGGAUCGCGCGCCGGAGCUCGGGUCUCCCAGUCAGAGUUGCCCAUCCCUCUGCGUUCUCCUCCUCUCCGGGCCUGUUUCCCCCUCCUUUGGGUUUUCUCUCCAGGCCUCCUCCUCCCAUUCACUCUCACACCACUGGCCCCUUUGGCCUGCCGGUUUCACCCACUCCUUCCGUAGCUUCAGAGGACUCUCGGCGCCCCACUCGCGGCUUUAGGACUGGGAGGCUUUGGAAGUCCAUUCAGUGGGAUGUCGCGCGCGGGGCUCUUUUGCCAGGACGGAGAGCAAGAAUGAAAUUGGAACGGGGAGGGGCAUGUCGUGCGUGCAAGGGUGUGUGUGUUGGGGGUGGGGGCAAAGAAAUGCAGUUUUCCCGAAAGAACUGGGAGCUUUGGACCGGAUUCUCAGAUACAGAGCUCCAAAUAAUGUGUCCGAGCGCUUCAUCGUGGCUCCUCGCAGCCGCAGGCUGCCCCAUACCCUGCCCACGUCGGAGAGAAGCGGCGACCCGAGUAGAAGUGGAGGCGGGGAAACUUCCUACUUCCCACGACGGCGGUUUUGUCCAAGGGGGAGUGGGCAGGCUGUACCGCCCUGUGAGCCUGCCGGCGUCACGACAGCGGCAGCUGCGGACCCGUCCCUCUUCCCUUCCCCCUCUUUCCGCGAGGCUGGCCAAGCCCGAGGCGGCCGGGGGCGGUCGGGGUGGGGGGAGAAGGGCGGGGAGCUCCCAGCUAGCACCCUUUCAUCCCAACCCGGGCCGAGAUUCCGGCUCCGGGUGUUGCUUCCGCCCGCGUGCGAGUGAGCUGGAGAAGUAG